rnacentral:lncRNA from 10 species
GCGCAAUCUCGGCUCACUGCAAGCUCCGCCUCCCAGGUUCACGCUAUUCUCCUGCCUCAGCCUCUCGAGUAGCUGGGACUACAGGCACCCGCCACUGCGCCCAGCUAAUUUUUUGUAUUUUUUAGUAGAGACGAGGUUUCACUGUGGUCUCAAUCUCCUGACCUCAUGAUCUGCCCGCCUCGGCCUCCCAAAGUGCUGGGAUUACAGGCGUGAGCCACCGCGCCCAGUCAAUUUUUGUAUUUUUAGUAGAGACGAGGUUUCAGCAUGUUGGCCAGGAUGGUAUUGAUCUCCUGACCUCGUGAUCCACCCACCUCAGCCUCCCAAAGUGCUGGGAUUACAGGUGUGAGCCACUGCUCCCAGCCAAGCCAGCCUUUAGCAACCUCCCUGCCAGGGUCCUGGGGGCCCCUAUUUGUUUCCCCUCCUCUUUUUCCUCCUCCUCAGCAGGCUGAACGUUGGUCCUGAAGUUUGCUUCCAGCAGAGGCCAACGGCCUCCCUUUAAGGCUGACACAGCAAGAAGACAGUUAUCUGUGAG